rnacentral:rRNA from 1 species
GACGAACGCUGGCGGCGUGCUUAACACAUGCAAGUCGAACGAAGUCGAGAACGGGUGAGUAACGCGUAAUCAACCUGCCCUUCAGAGGGGGACAACAGUUGGAAACGACUGAUAAUAGCGCAUACGGAAGGAGGGGAUUGUGGCUGAUUAGUUAGUUGGAGGGGUAACGGCCGACCAAGGCGAUGAUCAGUAGCGGGUCUAGGUGGGUGAUCGGCGGCAGCGGGACAGAUACACGGCCCGGAGUGCGACGGAAGGCAGCAGGGGGAAAUAGUCCGUGAUGGACGAAAGUUUGACGGAGUAACGCGGCGUGAGUGAUGACGGCCUUCGAGUUGUAUGGCGCUGUUAAUCGUUACGCGGUACCUGGAUAGAAAGCCACGGCUAACUACGUGCCACCCGCCGCGGUAAUUC